rnacentral:rRNA from 1 species
UACGUAGGGGGCGAGCGUUGUCCGGAGUUACUGGGCGUAAAGGGCACGCAGGCGGUGCUCCACGUUUCGGCUGACAGUCUUCGGCCUAACCGAGGAAGGCGUCGGAAAACGAGAGCACUUGAGGCAUCGAGAGGGACACGGAAUUCCGGGUGGAGUGGUGAAAUGCGUAGAGAUCCGGAAGAACACCAAAGGCGAAGGCAGUGUCCUGGCGAUGACCUGACGCUGAGGUGCGAAAGCUAGGGGAGCGAACAGG